CACAGUGUGGAUGGGGGCUUCAAAAAAAACUUUCAGUCCACAGCAAUAGGUGAAGCCAGUUUCACUGGAAGCAUCGGCUCUUCACCUAGGAUGGCCCUUCGUGAAAACAACUUCCCACCAGCACCCUAAAAGUCUUCUGGGGCCAAUCUGUGCAUCCCAGAUGCUCAUUGGAAUAACACUUCUGACUAAGAACCAACCAAGGCGACGUAGACAGAUUCUUACAUUUAGGGAUUGGAAGCUGUCUGGGUACCAAGAGGUGUGCACACUGUCACUUCUAUGUUUCAGUCCAAGAGGAAUUAACCUAAUGCAAUCAUAAGGAAGUGUCAGAAAAAUCUGUCAACACCAGCUGACAAAGUAACUUGCCUAAAAGUUUUAAGAGUAUCAAGGUCAAAGAAAGACUGAAGAUCAAAGGCAACUAAAGAGACAGAACAACUAAAUGUACUGUGCAAUCUGGUGCUGAUUCUUUUUCUAUAAAAGAUAUUAAUUGAACCCUUCAUGAAACUUGAAUG